GCAUCAGUAGCUCAGAACCAGAGCGCCGGCCUUGUAAGCCGGAUGUCGGGGGUUAAAAUCCACCCUUUUGCU
rnacentral:tRNA from 1 species